rnacentral:rRNA from 1 species
UACAGAGGUCCCAAGCGUUGUUCGGAUUCAUUGGGCGUAAAGGGUGCGUAGGCGGCGCGGUAAGUCGGGUGUGAAAUCUUGGAGCUUAACUCCGAAACUGCAUUCGAUACUGCCGUGCUUGAGGACUGGAGAGGAGAGUGGAAUUCCCGGUGUAGCGGUGAAAUGCGCAGAUAUCGGGAAGAACACCCGUGGCGAAGGCGGCUCACUGGCCCGGUACUGACGCUGAGGUGCGAAAGCGUGGGGAGCAAACAGG